rnacentral:miRNA from 1 species
CAGUCACCCUGAGUAUACUCC